AUCUCCUGUAUGAGAGCUGCUUCCUGAUAAGGAAUGUUUUGUACCUAGAAGCCCUGUUACUAGCUGGCAUCACUUUUUGUGGUUUGCACAGUUUGGAGCAUGGAUGUUUUAUUUCACAGAAUAAUUGAAUUCACCGGGUAAAAUUUGUGGUUAAUAUAGUUGUGAAUUAUUCCAGGAGCACUAGACACUGAUGGCCAAGCAUGCUUGUCUGAACCACUGGACAAACCAGAGGAGUCUCUGACAGAGCUUUGUCUUUAAAUAGCAAAUUGAAUUAUGUGUAAAUAUAAGAAAAAGGAAUAACGCUCAUAUCGUGAGAACAAUUUAUCGUGAUUUUUUUUUUUCAUUAUACCUUUUCUGGCACUCUUCUGACAUUGCGCAGUGGGAACUUUUAAGGCAUUCAUGCCACUGCUCACUAAAUAAACAUCUAAAGAAUUUUUUAGAUCUCAGAUAAACUAUACCAACUUCUUUCCUCUGCUAUGAGGUUGUUUAUAUUAAGAGGCCCUAAGACUCAGUUAAUCUUCACAACGGAACCAUUACACCAGUAAUAAAAUAGGAAAUGAGCACAGUGUAAACAACACUUCUAUUCAGGGAGCCUAGAGAUGCAAAACAAUUUCAGAGACCUGUAGCCAUUAGCAAAAAUAGCAGAUUACCUGUGACAGCUAACCAGAUGUAUGAACAAUAUCUUUGACAGAGCUUUCACAAAGAACAGCAAGCUACUUCUAAAAGAAAAAAAUACAGUGUGUUAAAGGAAGGACAACUAGGACGACGUUCUUGGAGGGUGAAUAUCAAAACUGACCUCCUGGGCUGAAUGUAAAUCAUGGAAACUGCUCACAGUGUCUCUGGUGGGCAUCAUCUUAACAGUGCUGGAAAGCAGCUCUUGCUUGUCACCCUCUUACGCUGGUCACAGGACUGGGAGUAAAGGUGCUAAUCCUUCCUGUGCCCAGCUGAAGAUAAUGAUAGCUGCUUUUUAGAAGAGAAACACCUAAUUUUGGUUAUGGUUGAAGUGAUUUUUCUGCCACAGUGUAUUGCUUACCAGGGAUGCUAAGCUGUGCACAGCCCAAGGAAAAGAUCAUUACCAUUAUUACGGUGAAUACUAUAACACUCAUGGCUCUUUGGAGGCAAGCCUGGAAGCUGGAUGGAGUAUAAUAUGUCAUGAUUUAUACCCUUUGUGUAUAAUAUUUAUACCUUUGUACCUCUUUGUGAGUAGUAGCGAUAGCCUGGGGUUGCAGUUCAAACCUUUCUACAUAAGAAUUGAACAAAGAAGUCAGCAGUCCUUAGACAAGGGCUAGAGAGAGGGUUGUGCUUGCAACAGAGCAUGUAAAAUGUGGUUGAGGAAAAAACACUAAAAUGGUAAAUAGGGCAUCAUAGAUCAUCCAGGUAGUCAUAUUAAUUCUAAAAUAAUUUUACCUGCAGCAUGGCAUAAAGCUAUAUGUGUAGUCCUCCGUAUAAAAUAUUACUUAUGCCAGUUUAUAAGGUGAUGCAUAACUCUAGUUGAAUUUGUUGGUGGUGUUUUGUUUUUGUUGUUGUUGUUCUUGUUCCUUGUUUCUCUUCUGGUGACACUUGCAUUCAUAUUCAUUUUAGCACUUCUGUCAGAGAUCCUUGUAGCCCUCAGAGAUGAUUAUUAUACUACGAUUGUAUGGGUGAACGUUGCAACCUGUAGGUCCUGGUCAAGCAGAUUUUUGAGUGUCUGAGAUGAUUCAAGUCAUGAAAUGUCUUAAAUAGGUAUCAACAUAAUUGACAAACUUAAGGCUUUG
ensembl:lncRNA